rnacentral:rRNA from 1 species
UACGAAGGGGGCUAGCGUUGCUCGGAAUCACUGGGCGUAAAGGGUGCGUAGGCGGGUCUUUAAGUCAGGGGUGAAAUCCUGGAGCUCAACUCCAGAACUGCCUUUGAUACUGAGGAUCUUGAGUUCGGGAGAGGUGAGUGGAACUGCGAGUGUAGAGGUGAAAUUCGUAGAUAUUCGCAAGAACACCCGUGGCGAAGGCGGCUUGCUGGCUCGCAACUGACGCUGAGGCGCGAAAGCGUGGGGAGCAAACAGG